CCUACGGGUGGCUGCAGUAACGAAUCUUCCGCAAUGCGCGAAAGCGUGACGGAGCAAUGCCGCGUGCAGGAUGAAGCCCCUCGGGGUGUAAACUGCUGUCAGGGAUUAGCAACACAAUGAGCAGUCCCAAAGGAAGAGACGACUAACUCUGUGCCAGCAGUCGCGGUAAUACAGAGGUCUCGAGCGUUAGUCGGAAUCACUGGGCUUAAAGCGUGCGUAGGCGGAGAUGCAGGCGUCGUGUGAAAUACCUCGGCUCAACCGAGGAACUGCACGGCGAACCGCAUCUCUUGAGAGAGGUAGGGGCGGUCGGAACGAUAGGUGGAGUGGUGAAAUGCGUUGAUAUCUAUCGGAACGCCGAAGGUGAAGACAGGCCGCUGGGCCUUCUCUGACGCUGAGGCACGAAAGCGUGGGUAGCGAACGGGAUUAGAUACCCGGGUAGU
rnacentral:rRNA from 1 species